GAUUAGCGCUGACAGAAUGCUUAACACAUGCAAGUCGAUGGGGAAGUGGUGCUUGCACCAUGGCAACCGUGGCGGACGGGUGAGUAACGCGUAAGGGACUUACCUGCAGGACUGGGAUAACAGGGGGAAACUCCUGACAAGACCGGAUAAUGUCAUGGAGCUGCAUGGCUUUAUGAUGAAAGGAGACGCCUUCGGAGAUGCUUGCGUCCUAGUAGCCAGUUGGUGAGGUAAUGGCUCACCAAGCGGCAGAUAGGGAGCCGGCUUGAGAGGAGGGACGGCCACAAGGGGACUGAGAGGCGGCAGUAACUCCUACGGGAGGCAGGGGUGGAGAAUAUUGGACAAAGGGGGCAACCCUGAUGCAGCAAUUCUGUGUGCACGAAGAUGGUUUUCGGAAUGAAAAGUGCUGUCAGAAAGGAAGAAGUAAGUGACGGUACCUGCAGAAGAAGCGACGGCUAAAUACGUG
rnacentral:rRNA from 1 species